UACGGGGGGGGCAAGCGUUGUUCGGAAUUACUGGGCGUAAAGGGCGCGUAGGCGGCCUGCUAAGUCGGAUGUGAAAUCCCUCGGCUCAACCGAGGAACUGCAUCCGAUACUGGCGGGCUUGAAUCCGGGAGAGGGAUGUGGAAUUCCCGGUGUAGCGGUGAAAUGCGUAGAUAUCUGGAGGAACACCGGUGGCGAAGGCGGCAUCCUGGACCGGUAUUGACGCUGAGGCGCGAAAGCUAGGGGAGCAAACGGG
rnacentral:rRNA from 1 species